GAUUAUCCCUUCAAGCCUCCCAAGGUUGCCUUCUGUACCAAAAUUUUGCAUCCAAACAUCAACAGUAACGGUAGCAUCUACCUUGACAUUCUGAAGGAGCAGUGGAGCCCUGCUCUCACAAUCUCCAAGGUCUUUUAGCCCUGGAUUCAGAAGAGAAGACUAGCAUAUGCAAAACAUAAGCAUGUAAUAGCAGGAAUUUUAAGGCACGUGCACUCGGAAGCCGCUCUAGGAAGGCUCCUCAAAGAAGAUGAUUAGCCUAACACAGAUGUCAUAAAGAAGUUAGUUUACAACAAAUACUUUCUGCGUUUUUC